rnacentral:rRNA from 1 species
CCCUUCGAUGUUCUGGGCCGCACGCGUGCUACAAUGAUCGAUUCAACGAGUUUACAACCUGCUUCGACAGGAGUGGGUAAUCUUUUGAAAAUCGAUUCGUAACAGGGAUUGUGGGUUGCAAUUUUCCCACAUGAACGAGGUAUGCCUCGUAAGUGCACUUCAUCAGAGUGCGCUGAUUACGUCCCUGCCCUUUGUACACACCGCCCGUCGCUCCUACCGAUUGAGUGGUCCGGUGAAUUAUUCGGACUGCAACGCGUUCAGCUUCUGGAUGCAGUUGCGGAAAGUUUUGUAAACCUUAUCACUUAGAGGAAGGAGAAGUCGUAACA